rnacentral:misc_RNA from 1 species
UCUCCGAUGGUGAACCAGCGGAGGGAUCAUUAUCGAGUUAUUCAACUCCCAAACCCUAUGUGAACUUACCACUUGUUGCUUCGGCGCGCGCUUCGGCGCCGCCGAGGACACUUAAACUCUUUGUUUUUAUAAGCAUUUCUGAGUGGCCGAAAGGCAAAAUACAAAUGAAUCAAAACUUUCAACAACGGAUCUCUUGGUUCUG